GACGAACGCUGGCGGCGUGCUUAACACAUGCAAGUCGAACGGAAAGGCCCUGCUUUUGUGGGGUGCUCGAGUGGCGAACGGGUGAGUAACACGUGAGUAACCUGCCCUUGACUUUGGGAUAACUUCAGGAAACUGGGGCUAAUACCGGAUAGGAGCUCCUGCUGCAUGGUGGGGGUUGGAAAGUUUCGGCGGUUGGGGAUGGACUCGCGGCUUAUCAGCUUGUUGGUGGGGUAGUGGCUUACCAAGGCUUUGACGGGUAGCCGGCCUGAGAGGGUGACCGGCCACAUUGGGACUGAGAUACGGCCCAGACUCCUACGGUGGGCAGCAGUGGGGAAUAUUGCCCAAUGGGCGGAAGCCUGAUGCAGCAACGCCGCGUGCGGGAUGACGGCCUUCGGGUUGUAAACCGCUUUCGCCUGUGACGAAGCGUGAGUGACGGUAAUGGGUAAAGAAGCACCGGCUAACUACGUG
rnacentral:rRNA from 1 species